CCUACGGGGGGCAGCAGUGGGGAAUAUUGGACAAUGGGCGAAAGCCUGAUCCAGCCAUGCCGCGUGUGUGAAGAAGGCCUUCGGGUUGUAAAGCACUCUCAGUGGGGAAGAAAGCCUUGGGGCUAAUACCCUCGAGGAAGGACAUCACCCACAGAAGAAGCACCGGCUAACUCCGUGCCAGCAGCCGCGGUAAUACGGAGGGUGCGAGCGUUAAUCGGAAUUACUGGGCGUAAAGCGCGCGUAGGCGGUCUGAUAAGCCGGUUGUGAAAGCCCCGGGCUCAACCUGGGAACGGCAUCCGGAACUGUCAGGCUAGAGUGCAGGAGAGGAAGGUAGAAUUCCCGGUGUAGCGGUGAAAUGCGUAGAGAUCGGGAGGAAUACCAGUGGCGAAGGCGGCCUUCUGGACUGACACUGACGCUGAGGUGCGAAAGCGUGGGUAGCAAACAGGAUUAGAUACCCGGGUAGUC
rnacentral:rRNA from 1 species